GUACGACGGAGCACGUGAAAUUCCGUCGGAAUCUGGGAGGACCAUCUCCUAAGGCUAAAUACUCUCUAGUGACCGAUAGUGAACCAGUACCGUGAGGGAAAGGUGAAAAGCACCCCGGAAGGGGAGUGAAAUAGAACCUGAAACCGUGUGCUUACAAGUAGUCAGAGCCCGUUAAUGGGUGAUGGCGUGCCUUUUGUAGAAUGAACCGGCGAGUUACGAUUUGAUGCAAGGUUAAGCAGUAAAUGUGGAGCCGUAGCGAAAGCGAGUCUGAAUAGGGCGUUUAGUAUUUGGUCGUAGACCCGAAACCAGGUGAUCUACCCUUGGUCAGGUUGAAGUUCAGGUAACACUGAAUGGAGGACCGAACCGACUUACGUUGAAAAGUGAGCGGAUGAACUGAGGGUAGCGGAGAAAUUCCAAUCGAACCUGGAGAUAGCUGGUUCUCUCCGAAAUAGCUUUAGGGCUAGCCUCAAGUGAUGAUUAUUGGAGGUAGAGCACUGUUUGGACGAGGGGCCCCUCUCGGGUUACCGAAUUCAGACAAACUCCGAAUGCCAAUUAAUUUAACUUGGGAGUCAGAACAUGGGUGAUAAGGUCCGUGUUCGAAAGGGAAACAGCCCAGACCACCAGCUAAGGUCCCAAAAUAUAUGUUAAGUGGAAAAGGAUGUGGCGUUGCCCAGACAACUAGGAUGUUGGCUUAGAAGCAGCCAUCAUUUAAAGAGUGCGUAAUAGCUCACUAGUCGAGUGACACUGCGCCGAAAAUGUACCGGGGCUAAACAUAUUACCGAAGCUGUGGAUUGUCCUUUGGACAAUGGUAGGAGAGCGUUCUAAGGGCGUUGAAGCAUGAUCGUAAGGACAUGUGGAGCGCUUAGAAGUGAGAAUGCCGGUGUGAGUAGCGAAAGACGGGUGAGAAUCCCGUCCACCGAUUGACUAAGGUUUCCAGAGGAAGGCUCGUCCGCUCUGGGUUAGUCGGGUCCUAAGCUGAGGCCGACAGGCGUAGGCGAUGGAUAACAGGUUGAUAUUCCUGUACCACCUAUAAUCGUUUUAAUCGAUGGGGGGACGCAGUAGGAUAGGCGAAGCGUGCGAUUGGAUUGCACGUCUAAGCAGUAAGGCUGAGUAUUAGGCAAAUCCGGUACUCGUUAAGGCUGAGCUGUGAUGGGGAGAAGACAUUGUGUCUUCGAGUCGUUGAUUUCACACUGCCGAGAAAAGCCUCUAGAUAGAAAAUAGGUGCCCGUACCGCAAACCGACACAGGUAGUCAAGAUGAGAAUUCUAAGGUGAGCGAGCGAACUCUCGUUAAGGAACUCGGCAAAAUGACCCCGUAACUUCGGGAGAAGGGGUGCUCUUUAGGGUUAACGCCCAGAAGAGCCGCAGUGAAUAGGCCCAAGCGACUGUUUAUCAAAAACACAGGUCUCUGCUAAACCGUAAGGUGAUGUAUAGGGGCUGACGCCUGCCCGGUGCUGGAAGGUUAAGAGGAGUGGUUAGCUUCUGCGAAGCUACGAAUCGAAGCCCCAGUAAACGGCGGCCGUAACUAUAACGGUCCUAAGGUAGCGAAAUUCCUUGUCGGGUAAGUUCCGACCCGCACGAAAGGCGUAACGAUUUGGGCACUGUCUCAACGAGAGACUCGGUGAAAUCAUAGUACCUGUGAAGAUGCAGGUUACCCGCGACAGGACGGAAAGACCCCGUGGAGCUUUACUGUAGCCUGAUAUUGAAAUUCGGCACAGCUUGUACAGGAUAGGUAGGAGCCUUUGAAACGUGAGCGCUAGCUUACGUGGAGGCGCUGGUGGGAUACUACCCUAGCUGUGUUGGCUUUCUAACCCGCACCACUUAUCGUGGUGGGAGACAGUGUCAGGCGGGCAGUUUGACUGGGGCGGUCGCCUCCUAAAAGGUAACGGAGGCGCUCAAAGGUUCCCUCAGAAUGGUUGGAAAUCAUUCAUAGAGUGUAAAGGCAUAAGGGAGCUUGACUGCGAGACCUACAAGUCGAGCAGGGUCGAAAGACGGACUUAGUGAUCCGGUGGUUCCGCAUGGAAGGGCCAUCGCUCAACGGAUAAAAGCUACCCCGGGGAUAACAGGCUUAUCUCCCCCAAGAGUUCACAUCGACGGGGAGGUUUGGCACCUCGAUGUCGGCUCAUCGCAUCCUGGGGCUGUAGUCGGUCCCAAGGGUUGGGCUGUUCGCCCAUUAAAGCGGUACGCGAGCUGGGUUCAGAACGUCGUGAGACAGUUCGGUCCCUAUCCGUCGUGGGCGUAGGAAAUUUGAGAGGAGCUGUCCUUAGUACGAGAGGACCGGGAUGGACAUACCUCUGGUGUACCAGUUGUCGUGCCAACGGCAUAGCUGGGUAGCUAUGUGUGGACGGGAUAAGUGCUGAAAG
rnacentral:rRNA from 1 species